rnacentral:rRNA from 1 species
UACGUAGGGGGCAGGCGUUGUCCGGAAUCAUUGGGCGUAAAGAGCGUGUAGGCGGCUUGGUAAGUCCGCUGUGAAAGUCCAGGGCUCAACCCUGGAAUGCCGGUGGAAACUGCCAAGCUAGAGUCCGGAAGAGGCGAGUGGAAUUCCUGGUGUAGCGGUGAAAUGCGCAGAUAUCAGGAGGAACACCAAUGGCGAAGGCAGCUCGCUGGGACGGUACUGACGCUGAGACGCGAAAGCGUGGGGAGCAAACAGG